rnacentral:lncRNA from 1 species
GUUUAGUUCCUACCACCCACAAGGUACAUACAUACACAUACAAACAAAACACCUGAACAUGUAAAAUAAUCUUUCAAAAUUUGAAAAAAGUUGGCCAGGUGAUGGUGCUUUGUGCCCUUUAAUCCUUAUGCUCAGGAGCCAGAGGCAAGUGGAUCCCUGAGUUCAAGGACAGCCAGGGCUACACAGAAACCCUGUCUGGAAAAAAAAAAAAAAAUUUAAGAACGUUUGUACAGAACUCAAAACUAACAUACUCUACGUACAGGGGUAUUGUAUUAGGGUUCUCUAGAGUCGCAAAAUUUACGGUAUGUCUCUCUAUCCUGAGGAGAUUUAUUGUGAUGACUGACAGUCUGUAGCCCAACUCUCCAACAGUGGGCAGCUGUAAAUGCUGUAAAUGGAAGACCAAGAAUCUAGUAGUUGCUCAGGCUAGUUGUUUGAGCUGGUCUUCUGUAGAAGUAGAUUCCAGUGUGCUGGCAAGUAAGUGCAAGUGCAAGCAGAUGAAGAAGAGCAAAUCUUCUCUCUUCCAAUAUUCUUACAUAGGUCUCCAGCACAAGCUGCACCACCACACCCGGAUCUGGGGACUUGUUUUGUCCCCGGCUGACCUUGAACUUACAGAUCUUCUUGCCUUAGCCGCCAUGCCAAGAUCCAAGUCAGAAACUUGUGUCUUCUAGCCUUAAGAUCUAGAUUACAGGUGAGCCCUCCAAUUCUGGAUUGUAGUUCAUUACAGUAUAGUCAAGUUGACAACCCGGAAUAGCCAUUAGAGAUAUUAUGCAAGGACCAUACCCUUACCUACCGUUCUAUAGCUCAAAUAGACCUUCUUUCUGACUGAAUUACAAUCCACCUCUUCAUGGUUUCUUGGAAACAGGCCUCACCUAUACAUUUCCACUUACACUUUAAAUCCUUUGCCCUAGAAAAGGAUUCAUGUAAUCAGGCCUCUUCCCCUUCCUCCAGCGAUUGGUCCACUUUGCUACCCAAGGCUUCCCUGCUUUAGUCUGUAGUCCUGCUCUCUCCUCUACCUAGAUGCUCUUGUAGCCCUUGGCAUGCAUGCCUUGACCGCCUCAUCCAUGUCUCAUAUGUUCAGCUCUAUGAAGACCACUGCGGUGACUCAUGCCAUUCAACAACCACUAACUUAUUACCACGCUCUCUAGCAUUUAUCUGUGUCCUGUGUUUAUUUUCUUAGUUCCCUUAAAGUGUGAACUGGAGAGCAAGUCUGUCCCAUCAGUAUCAGUUCCUAACACUGUGUUGACAGCCCAUUUGUUGAGUAAAUAAAUGUUUUUGAAAAACCUAAACUAUAUUUUAUUUUUUUUUAUCUUGAGCUAUCUGUGUCUCAGAUUUCUCAUCUACAUAGUGAUAAUAACCUGCCUUGUCAUUCUCAGAAGAGGCAUUUCUGAACUCUUUAGGAAUCAUAUGGUGCUGUGCAAAUGGGACUUGGUCCACCUAAAAUAUGUUAAUUUGUCUGGUAUUCUCAUGAUCAGGAAGGCUAGUCUAUAGACUGUAGUACACUUUAAAUCACAUGUCCAGAUAGUCUUGGUAAAACUCAGGAUCCUUACAGAUGGCUCAUCAGGUAAGAACUCUUGAUGCGUUAGUCUGAGGACUUAGUUUCAAAUUCCCAGAAUCCACAUAAAGAGUUGGGCACAGUUAUUUGACAGGUCCCUAACACUAUGUCUGGUGGGUGGCAGAGCCAAGGUCACUAGGUACCCAGUCUAGCUAUACAUUGAGUAAGGCAGAGACUGGUAUAGCACAAUACCUGAGUUCUUUUGGCCUCUACAUAUGUGGAUUUAUACACAUGUGCACAUAUGCAAAUUUUAAAUAAGUUAACAAAUAUAACCUUGGAACAGGGUAGAGAACAGCAUUUUAACCAGUGUCUGAAACUGGAGGUAGCCAAACAUACACACAGAGAAGGUAAUUUGGGGUUUCUUGUUCCUUGUUUGAGAUAAGGUCUCACUAUUGUAGCCUUGGCUUUCCUAGACUUCAAUAUAUAGACCAGGCUAGCCUGAACUCAAAGGAAUCCACCCUAUGAAAGCUGUCUCCUUGCCCUAUCAGCUCUGACACCAAACCUUUUGUGAGGUGAAGCUACUUGAUUCCUGGUUCACUAUCUGCUUAAAUGAACAAAAACCUUAAAAUGUCAAAGAGCUUUAUUCCCAGCCAUGUUAUAAAUCAAAACCAGGGCCUCCUAUACAAGCAAGUAGUCUUAUCAUUUGAGCUAUAUCCUGAUAAGGUAACAAAGUUUAUAGUCUACCAGAACUAUUAUCAGCUUUGUAAUUCAAGGUAGGACCAUAUUUCCUUUUUCCUUAUUGCAAAAAUAUUUUAAUACAGUCAUAGUACGAUUAUAAAGUCAUUUCUAAUAUGUUAAAUAUGUUCAAAAUAUUAAUAAAACCUAUCUCCCAUUUUCACACGUGUAUUUUGAUCACAUUUGCCUGGUGUGUUACAUAGUCAACAUCUAGUUUCUAAAGAUGAGUUCUAGUUGUCUUGCUAAGGAGGCAGAAUGUAAAUAAAUCUUUUUUUUAUCUGAACUUUAUUAGAUAUUAUCUUUUAAAAUGACAUAAUUUGAGUCCUAAAAUGAACAGUUAAAUAAUUUGAGAGGAUUUUGAAAUGAUCAUAAAACUAAUUUUAAAAAAGGCUUAGGUUUCCAGAGGAUCAUGCCUUAAUAUUAAGUGCCUGUGGUUUAAUAUAUUCAAUGUGUAGAACUCAGCUCGUCUUGGUUUUGUAAUCAGGGUCUCUACUUUUCCUUUAUAACAUUUCUUCCUGGAGAAAAAUCACUUGGAAACUGAAGAUCUUUACCAGAUAAAUCCUUAAGUAAAGCUUGGUGGAUAUGAGAUUUAAGACUCACUUGAGAUAACAGCUUUGUUUUUAGUAGAAUUUUAUUUUUUCAUGAUAUUUAUAACUAUGAUCAUUCUGGAAUUUGCCCUCUGAUUCUCUUUAUGCUUUUGCAUUGUUUUUUAUUAGUUGGUUUUAUUUCAUUUUGAAAAUAUAUUUAAAGAGAUACAUACUUGAGAGAAAACUGGAAUUAAACUUUUUAC